rnacentral:ncRNA from 2 species
ACACACCGACAGGGGAGCGCCAGCAGGCGCUGAGAGUGCGGGCAACCGCAGACCCUCGAACCUGAACCGGGUCAUGCCGGCGUAGGGAGUCUGGAGAGAUCGACA